rnacentral:rRNA from 1 species
UACGGAGGGUGCAAGCGUUAUCCGGAUUCACUGGGUUUAAAGGGUGCGUAGGUGGGCUGGUAAGUCAGUGGUGAAGUCUCCAGGCUUAACUUGGAAACUGCCAUUGAUACUAUCAGUCUUGAAUACCGUGGAGGUCAGCGGAAUAUGUCAUGUAGCGGUGAAAUGCUUAGAUAUGACACAGAACACCGAUUGCGAAGGCAGCUGACGAAACUGUAACUGACGCUGAGGCUCGAAAGCGUGGGGAUCAAACAGG